rnacentral:rRNA from 1 species
GACGAACGCUGGCGGCGUGCUUAACACAUGCAAGUCGAACGGAAAGGCCCUGCUUUUGUGGGGUGCUCGAGUGGCGAACGGGUGAGUAACACGUGAGUAACCUGCCCUUGACUUUGGGAUAACUUCAGGAAACUGGGGCUAAUACCGGAUAGGAGCUCCUGCUGCAUGGUGGGGGUUGGAAAGUUUCGGCGGUUGGGGAUGGACUCGCGGCUUAUCAGCUUGUUGGUGGGGUAGUGGCUUACCAAGGCUUUGACGGGUAGCCGGCCUGAGAGGGUGACCGGCCACAUUGGGACUGAGAUACGGCCCCGACUCCUACGGGAGGCAGCAGUGGGGAAUAGUGCACAAUGGGAGGAAGCCUGAUACCGCAACGCCGAGUGCGGGAUGACGGCCUUCGGGUUGUAAACCGAUUUCGCCUGUGACGAAGCGUGAGUGACGGUAAUGGGUAAAGAAGCACCGGCUAACUACGUG